rnacentral:rRNA from 1 species
GACGAACGCUGGCGGCGUGCUUAACACAUGCAAGUCGAGCGGUAAGGCCCUUUCGGGGGUACACGAGCGGCGAACGGGUGAGUAACACGUGGGUGACCUGCCCUCAGCUCUGGGAUAAGCCCGGGGAAACUGGGUCUAAUACUGGAUAUGACUCCAAUGACGCAUGUUGUGGGGUGGAAAGCCUUGUGCGGCGUGAGGAUGGGCCCGCGGCCUAUCAGCUUGUUGGNGGGGUGAUGGCCUACCAAGGCGACGACGGGUAGCCGGCCUGAGAGGGCGACCGGCCACACUGGGACUGAGACACGGGCCCAGACUCCUACGGGAGGCAGCAGUGGGGAAUCUUGCGCAAUGGGCGAAAGCCUGACGCAGCGACGCCGCGUGAGGGAUG